GUAAACCAACUAGCAUCAACUACAAAGAGUAAUCAAGACUACUAGCAACCUUACGGGUACCAAUCGACGUCGCGAGACGGCGAUUGGUUACAAGAGAUAGACUAGGGUUUGGAUAGGAGAUGGUGAUGAUGAAGAUGUCGAUGGAGAUGACUCCCCUCCGACGAGAGGAGUGUUGGUGAUGACGAUGGCGACGAUUUCCC
rnacentral:lncRNA from 1 species